rnacentral:rRNA from 1 species
GAGCGGCGGACGGGUGAGUAAUGCCUAGGAAAUUGCCCUGAUGUGGGGGAUAACCAUUGGAAACGAUGGCUAAUACCGCAUAAUGCCUACGGGCCAAAGAGGGGGACCUUCGGGCCUCUCGCGUCAGGAUAUGCCUAGGUGGGAUUAGCUAGUUGGUGAGGUAAUGGCUCACCAAGGCGACGAUCCCUAGCUGGUCUGAGAGGAUGAUCAGCCACACUGGAACUGAGACACGGUCCAGACUCCUACGGGAGGCAGCAGUGGGGAAUAUUGCACAAUGGGCGCAAGCCUGAUGCAGCCAUGCCGCGUGUGUGAAGAAGGCCUUCGGGUUGUAAAGCACUUUCAGUCGUGAGGAAGGUGGUGUAGUUAAUAGCAGUAUCAUUUGACGUUAGCGACAGAAGAAGCACCGGCUAACUCCGUGCCAGCAGCCGCGGUAAUACGGAGGGUGCGAGCGUUAAUCGGAAUUACUGGGCGUAAAGCGCAUGCAGGUGGUUUGUUAAGUCAGAUGUGAAAGCCCGGGGCUCAACCUCGGAAUAGCAUUUGAAACUGGCAGACUAGAGUACUGUAGAGGGGGGUAGAAUUUCAGGUGUAGCGGUGAAAUGCGUAGAGAUCUGAAGGAAUACCGGUGGCGAAGGCGGCCCCCUGGACAGAUACUGACACUCAGAUGCGAAAGCGUGGGGAGCAAACAGGAUUAGAUACCCUGGUAGUCCACGCCGUAAACGAUGUCUACUUGGAGGUUGUGGCCUUGAGCCGUGGCUUUCGGAGCUAACGCGUUAAGUAGACCGCCUGGGGAGUACGGUCGCAAGAUUAAAACUCAAAUGAAUUGACGGGGGCCCGCACAAGCGGUGGAGCAUGUGGUUUAAUUCGAUGCAACGCGAAGAACCUUACCUACUCUUGACAUCCAGAGAACUUUUCAGAGAUGGAUUGGUGCCUUCGGGAACUCUGAGACAGGUGCUGCAUGGCUGUCGUCAGCUCGUGUUGUGAAAUGUUGGGUUAAGUCCCGCAACGAGCGCAACCCUUAUCCUUGUUUGCCAGCGAGUAAUGUCGGGAACUCCAGGGAGACUGCCGGUGAUAAACCGGAGGAAGGUGGGGACGACGUCAAGUCAUCAUGGCCCUUACGAGUAGGGCUACACACGUGCUACAAUGGCGCAUACAGAGGGCAGCAAGCUAGCGAUAGUGAGCGAAUCCCAAAAAGUGCGUCGUAGUCCGGAUUGGAGUCUGCAACUCGACUCCAUGAAGUCGGAAUCGCUAGUAAUCGUGGAUCAGAAUGCCACGGUGAAUACGUUCCCGGGCCUUGUACACACCGCCCGUCACACCAUGGGAGUGGG